rnacentral:rRNA from 1 species
UACGAAGGGGGCUAGCGUUGCUCGGAAUCACUGGGCGUAAAGGGUGCGUAGGCGGGUCUUUUAAGUCAGGGGUGAAAUCCUGGAGCUCAACUCCAGAACUGCCUUUGAUACUGAGGAUCUUGAGUACGGGAGAGGUGAGUGGAACUGCGAGUGUAGAGGUGAAAUUCGUAGAUAUUCGCAAGAACACCAGUGGCGAAGGCGGCUCACUGGCCCGUUACUGACGCUGAGGCACGAAAGCGUGGGGAGCAAACGGGG